GAUGAACGCUGGCGGCGUGCUUAACACAUGCAAGUCGAACGGGAUCCAUCAGGCUUUGCUUGGUGGUGAGGGUGGCGAACGGGUGAGUAAUGCGUGACCGACCUGCCCCAUACACCGGAAUAGCUCCUGGAAACGGGUGGUAAUGCCGGAUGCUCCGACUCCUCGCAUGGGGUGUCGGGAAAGAUUUCAUCGGUAUGGGAUGGGGUCGCGUCCUAUCAGGUAGUCGGCGGGGUAACGGCCCACCGAGCCUACGACGGGUAGCCGGCCUGAGAGGGCGACCGGCCACAUUGGGACUGAGAUACGGCCCAGACUCCUACGGGAGGCAGCAGUGGGGAAUAUUGCACAAUGGGCGCAAGCCUGAUGCAGCGACGCCGCGUGCGGGAUGACGGCCUUCGGGUUGUAAACCGCUUUUGAUCGGGAGCAAGCCUUCGGGUGAGUGUAC
rnacentral:rRNA from 1 species